rnacentral:rRNA from 1 species
GUAGGGUGCGAGCGUUAAUCGGAAUUACUGGGCGUAAAGCGUGCGCAGGCGGUUGUGUAAGACAGGUGUGAAAUCCCCGGGCUUAACCUGGGAACUGCGCUUGUGACUGCACGGCUAGAGUACGGCAGAGGGGGGUGGAAUUCCACGUGUAGCAGUGAAAUGCGUAGAUAUGUGGAGGAACACCGAUGGCGAAGGCAGCCCCCUGGGCCUGUACUGACGCUCAUGCACGAAAGCGUGGGGAGCAAAC